UAUUUUUGCUAUUUAACUUUUCAUUCCUUUUUGGCAUGUGUGGUGAAUCAACUAUUCUCAAUUUUCUGUUGCUAGAAAGAAGUUAUAGUUACAUGCAUCUGUAGUCAAUAAUAAUAACAAACAAAUAAAACAGCGAACAAGAAUAGAAGAUAACCAUGCUCGUAUGACUUAUGAGUUAUGACCGUCCUAGUUGAGCUUAUAGCUCAUCAGAUCAGCCUAUAAUUAAUAAAGCAGUUGUCCUUUUAUUUACUGUAUUUGAAUGGAAAUUCUUGGCAGCUGAUUUUAUGUUUUAUAUAAGUUAUUUGUUAAAAUACUUGUGUUUGGAAAUUAUUAUGUGUUGCUAAAUGAUAAUAUAUUUGUUGUUAUCAUGUAUCUUUUAUAGACUCUUGGCUCUUAUGCUUGAAUCCCAUUAAACGACUGCUUCUUCGAUUUAUGAGGAAAUCUAGUGAUGGAGCGAAGGAUGCUCUUCAGAGGCGUAUUGUUUAUUCAUUUGGUGAUCAUUAUUACUUCCGAAAGGAACUUAAGAUACUGAACCUUCUAACUGGGUAAUCAAAAGUUUCUUAUAUCCUAAUCAAUAACAUAACUAAUAUUCAUACAGUUCUGUUUUGUUAGUCUGAGAAUAUGCUUUUUCACUUGUUUGAAGGUAUAUUUUCCUGCUUGACAAAUUUGGUAUAAUAAGAUGGCAGGGCUUUGGUUUGGCAAAGUAAGAAGAGUUGUCAUCGCUAUUUUAUUGCACGAAAGUUCUUGCGGAGGAAAUAUAGGUAGCCUGGCAUUUUUUAGAUUUCUGCAACCAAGCAAAGCCUUAGGUUUUCCAUUUUGGGAGAGCGAGUGAAAAGUAAAGAAGUAUCCUAAUGCUAGUAUACUUUUGGCUUGCCUGGUGUAGCUUAGUUUUUACACUAAAAGCCUGUUGGCUCAACAGGAUGAACAAGUUCACAGUUUUGAGAGACCUCAAUUUUGUUGCAGAAAACCUUGGUGUUGAGUUUUUCAAAGCUUUUGUGUAACCACGUGCCAAAACAACACACUUGCUACAGCAGGAUAUUGAAAUCCCACCCUUCAUUGGAUUGUAAUUUCAGGCAGUCAGGAAUUAAAGAGAUAUGGAUAGCCUCAAUGUGCCUCCAAAAUAUAGGGAGAUGAAAUCAUUCUGGAUAUACUAUUCAGCUCACUUGCACUGUAAAUUCACCGCUCUUGUUGAACAUGAAGAGGGUGGUCGAGUGACCAAAUUUCUUGCACUCGAUAAAUGCCUUCCAGGGCUCAAAUUCUUGCAGAUUGUUGAUAUUGAAUCUGAUCCAGGACCUUAUGAGGUUCAAUAUGAUGAAGAAUGGCUGGCAAUAACACGAAAAUUCUGUCUUUCCUUUGACCUUCCGAUGUGCAGACUUUGGGAGAACACAGCUCGACAUGCAAGAUUGUCGUCUAUGGGUUAAGCACAGGAUAGAAGACAGAGGAGCCAAACCUUGUGAAUUUUCUCAAACAGCUACACCUCACAACCCCUCUCAUUCAGUUUCAAACACUACUUUUUUCUGAUCUUCCUUAUGUUCUUGAUAAUGCAUCAGACUCCAGGGAUACUCCUGCUUCAUUGCCUCGAAAAGGUGACAUGGUUUUUCCGGCUGGUUCAUUAGAUGAUUACAGUGAAGACAUUCCCAUUGAAGACAAGAAUGAAAUAGAAGAUGAUGCAGAACCGAAUAAUGAAAACAGGUCCUCAUGAAUGUCAAUAAUGUUUUCUAUCAACCAAGAGGUUUAUUAGUGCAAAAAGAUUGAUGGCAAUAUCUUGCUAUUCCAUGAGGCUUUACUGAUUUGUGAAGUUGGCAGCUUAGUUUAAUGGCCCACACUUUUCCAACUUUCAUCAGCAGAGGAGAGCACCUAUGCAAGUUGUGGGGUUUGUUGUUUUCCUUUUUCUUUCUAAAAUCAUGUAUAGACAUCAAACAUUAUAUCAAUAGCUAUUAUCACAGUCAAUCAUUAUAUGAGCUUGAAUUUGGAAUCUCAAAAUUCUCGGGAUUUUUCUAAUUGAAUUGAUAUUAUUAAAAUGGAUAAA